rnacentral:rRNA from 1 species
GAUGAACGCUGGCGGCGUGCUAAACACAUGCAAGUCGAACGAUGAAGCCCAGCUUGCUGGGUGGAUUAGUGGCGAACGGGUGAGUAACACGUGAGUAACCUGCCCUUAACUCUGGGAUAAGCCUGGGAAACUGGGUCUAAUACCGGAUAGGAGCGUCCACCGCAUGGUGGGUGUUGGAAAGAUUUAUCGGUUUUGGAUGGACUCGCGGCCUAUCAGCUUGUUGGUGAGGUAAUGGCUCACCAAGGCGACGACGGGUAGCCGGCCUGAGAGGGUGACCGGCCACACUGGGACUGAGACACGGCCCAGACUCCUACGGGAGGCAGCAGUGGGGAAUAUUGCACAAUGGGCGCAAGCCUGAUGCAGCGACGCCGCGUGAGGGAUGACGGCCUUCGGGUUGUAAACCUCUUUCAGUAGGGAAGAAGCGAAAGUGACGGUACCUGCAGAAGAAGCACCGGCUAACUACGUG